UUUAAGUAGACAGACCACAUCAUCUUUACAUGCCUGCUGGAGGCUCCACUCCCAGCAUGAGCUGGGCACCACUUAGACCAUUCACUCCCAGUAUUCUCCCUCUGCUCCCACGGUCUGCUCUGAAGAGAAGGAGCCCUGUUUCUGUGCAUGAUCCUGUUUUUACCAGUGUGAUAAUUAAGAUGGCCACAGGUCACAGAAGAGCUUGAAGAAAUCACAACAGGCUCCUACAGGAGAAAGUCAGGCAGAGAGGGAAAGCAAGCCAGACCAAAGAGGACAACUCUGCUGAGAAGAAAGUAUUACAUACAACAACUUCAAGUUCAGAAUAGCCUCAUUAAUUUUUUCCACAUUCCAGACUCUCCAAGCAUGUCAACAAACUGUGGUCUGUCCACUGGCUCACCUACACAAGCCACACUAUCUGCGUGGGGAUGGAUGUGUUCUACCAUGAGGUAUGUGCAAGGACAUGCCUGGAGGCUGAAAGUGAGCUUGGGAAACCAGUGGCUUUCCUAGAUGGUUGUGACAUGUACUCUGCUCUCUCAGGCAGUAGCAAGCCCCAUGUAUCUGUGAUAGAUGAGUAAUGCAAUGAUUGGCUCUCACAAUUAAUAGAGAAAUAUAAGGUAUAUAGGUUAAGAAAAGUUUAUAGAUUGAUAGUUGUGUUGUAGCCCCUCGCGUGGUUAUCAAGGGACAGCUGGAGUUGGGACAUCUGGGAGGGCUGGCUUGUCACUACGGCUACACCUGACCUCCAGUCAGGAUUUGAGGAAGAGAUCUCCACCACUGGACAGCGAAGAAGAGGUUGAUGGACAGAACUUUGGGAGGGGUUAUGGGGUUAAAAAGGAUAAAACCUGCAUUGAGAAGAGGCUGAGCACAUGGUGGGGAAAAUCUUUUGCUCCAGCGUUGUAACCUUUUUUCUUUAUUCAGUCUUUUGUUGUAUUUUUGAUAAGGUUUAAUAAAUAUUCCUAAACUAUGAGAAGUGAGUACCUAUUUCUCACACGCCCUGAUACCUCCCGUUAUAUUCCCUGUAACUGCACUGCACACCAGAUUUCAAAUAUUCCCAUGUGAAUGAUGUCAUCCACCCAAGCUCACAACAAUUGGGCACCAGGGCAAUGCUAAGUCCUUUUUAGGUACAAAGAAAUAUUUAGCAGGGCAGGGUCUUCCCUGCACAGACCUAGAAAGGCUGAAUCUUCUUCUAUAAUGCAAAUUUAUAUGCACCACUUUGCUCCAAAGAACUCUUGAAGUAAAAGCACUUAUUGUGGAUAAAUAUUGUAUGUUCUUGGUUAGCUGCAAUUUGUACAAAUGCUCCUCUGCCUUGAGAUCUUGAGGCAGAAGGUAGAAAAAAAGAGAGAAAUAUAAAGUGUAGUACUGUGAAAAAUGCGUAUUUUAUG